rnacentral:rRNA from 1 species
UACUUAACCGAGGCUACUGAUGUAGGCGGCCGCCUAUUCGCCCUUGGAUCCAGACUUUGAUCCUGGCUCAGGAUGAACGCUAGCGACAGGCCUAACACAUGCAAGUCGAGGGGCAGCGGGGAGGUAGCAAUACCUUUGCCGGCGACCGGCGCACGGGUGAGUAACACGUAUGCAAUCCACCUGUAACAGGGGGAUAACCCGGAGAAAUCCCGGACUAAUACCCCAUAAUAUGGGCGCUCCGCAUGGAGGGCUCAUUAAAGAAAGCAAUUUUGGUUACAGACGAGCAUGCGCUCCAUUAGCCAGUUGGCGGGGUAACGGCCCACCAAAGCGACGAUGGAUAGGGGUUCUGAGAGGAAGGUCCCCCACAUUGGAACUGAGACACGGUCCAAACUCCUACGGGAGGCAGCAGUGAGGAAUAUUGGUCAAUGGUCGGCAGACUGAACCAGCCAAGUCGCGUGAGGGAAGACGGCCCUACGGGUUGUAAACCUCUUUUGUCGGAGAGUAAAGUACGCUACGAGUAGUGUAUUGCAAGUAUCCGAAGAAAAAGCAUCGGCUAACUCCGUGCCAGCAGCCGCGGUAAUACGGAGGAUGCGAGCGUUAUCCGGAUUUAUUGGGUUUAAAGGGUGCGUAGGCGGCACGCCAAGUCAGCGGUGAAAUUUUCGGGCUCAACCCGGACUGUGCCGUUGAAACUGGCGAGCUAGAGUGCACAAGAGGCAGGCGGAAUGCGUGGUGUAGCGGUGAAAUGCAUAGAUAUCACGCAGAACCCCGAUUGCGAAGGCAGCCUGCUAGGGUGCGACAGACGCUGAGGCACGAAAGCGUGGGUAUCGAACAGGAUUAGAUACCCUGGUAGUCCACGCAGUAAACGAUGAAUACUAACUGUUUGCGAUACAAUGUAAGCG